rnacentral:rRNA from 1 species
UACGUAGGGACCAAGCGUUGUUCGGAAUUACUGGGCGUAAAGGGCUCGUAGGUGGCCAACUAAGUCGGACGUGAAAUCCCUCAGCUUAACUGGGGAACUGCGUCCGAUACUGGAUGGCUUGAGUUUGGGAGAGGGAUGCGGAAUUCCAGGUGUAGCGGUGAAAUGCGUAGAUAUCUGGAGGAACACCGGUGGCGAAGGCGGCAUCCUGGACCAACACUGACACUGAGGAGCGAAAGCCAGGGGAGCAAACGGG